rnacentral:rRNA from 1 species
UACGAGGGGGGGCGAGCGUUGUUCGGAAUUAUUGGGCGUAAAGGGUGCGUAGGCGGUUUGGUAAGUCUCUUGUGAAAUCUAUGGGCUCAACUCAUAGUCUGCAAGGGAAACUGCCGGGCUUGAGUGUGGGAGAGGUGAGUGGAAUUUCCGGUGUAGCGGUGAAAUGCGUAGAUAUCGGAAGGAACACCUGUGGCGAAAGCGGCUCACUGGACCACAACUGACGCUGAUGCACGAAAGCUAGGGGAGCAAACAGG